GACGAACGCUGGCGGCGUGCUUAACACAUGCAAGUCGAACGGAAAGGCCCUGCUCUUGUGGGGUGCUCGAGUGGCGCACGGGUGAGUAACACGCGAGUAACCUGUCCUUGACUUUGGGAUAACUUUUGGAAACUGGGGCUCAAAUCGGAUAGAAGCUCCUGCAGCACGGUGGGGGUUGGAGAGUUUCGGCGGUUGGGGAUGGACUCGCUGCUUCUCAGCUUGUUGGUGGGGUAGUGGCUUACCAAGGCUUUGACGGGUAGCCGGCCUGAGAGGGUGACCGGCCACAGUGGGACUGAGGUACGGCCCAGACUCCUACGGUAGGCAGCAGGGGGGAAUAUUGCACAAUGGGCGGAAGCCUGAUGCAGCAACGCCGCGUGCGGGAUGACGGCCUUCGGGGUGUAAACCGCUUUCGCCUGUGACGAAGCGUGAGUGACGGUAAUGGAUAAAGAAGCACCGGCUAACUACGUG
rnacentral:rRNA from 1 species